CGGAGGGCGCGAGCGUUUACCCGGAUUUACUGGGCGUAAAAGGGCGUGUAGGCGGCUUGGGGGCGUCCCAUGUGAAAAGGCCAACGGCUCAACCGUGGAGGAGCGUGGGAUACGCGUCAGGCUAGAGGGUGGGAGAGGGGUGGGUGGAAGUUCCCGGACGUAGCGGUGAAAUGCGCAGAUACCGGGAGGAACGCCGAUGGCGAAGGCAGCCACCUGGUCCACUUCUGACGCUGAGGCGCGAAAGCGUGGGGAGCAAACCGGAUU
rnacentral:rRNA from 1 species